GAUGAACGCUGGCGGCGUGCCUAAUACAUGCAAGUCGAGCGAACGGACGAGAAGCUUGCUUCUCUGAUGUUAGCGGCGGACGGGUGAGUAACACGUGGAUAACCUACCUAUAAGACUGGGAUAACUUCGGGAAACCGGAGCUAAUACCGGAUAAUAUUUUGAACCGCAUGGUUCAAAAGUGAAAGACGGUCUUGCGGUCUCUUAUAGAUGGAUCCGCGCUGCAUUAGCUAGUUGGUAAGGUAACGGCUUACCAAGGCAACGAUGCAUAGCCGACCUGAGAGGGUGAUCGGCCACACUGGAACUGAGACACGGUCCAGACUCCUACGGGAGGCAGCAGUAGGGAAUCUUCCGCAAUGGGCGAAAGCCUGACGGAGCAACGCCGCGUGAGUGAUGAAGGUCUUCGGAUCGUAAAACUCUGUUAUUAGGGAAGAACAUAUGUGUAAGUAACUGUGCACAUCUUGACGGUACCUAAUCAGAAAGCCACGGCUAACUACGUG
rnacentral:rRNA from 1 species